CCCCGAAGCAGGAGCGGCGACGGCGUCCGGAGCAGCAGCGGGCGGAGGAGCGCGAGGCGGAGCGCGAGGCCAGGAAGGUCAGCAGGAGCAUCGACCGCAUGCUGCGCCAGCAGAAGCGCGACCUGCAGCAGACGCACCGGCUCCUGCUGCUGGAUUUUCCUCACCUGAAGGGUGUUCUUUCUCCCUACCUGGCCCGACCCCCCUUUCAAGACACGCCUGGGGUCCCUCCUGUUUGGUGAAGCUUUUGUGGAUCCUGUGGACCCUCCCAUCCCCCCAGGGGCUCUACGACACCUUCCAGCCCAGAGUUCCUGCGCAUCGUCACUUGUCCUCUGAAUGAUGAGAGUGUGCUAGUCUUAUGUCCCCACCUGCUCCAGAAGGUAAAAAAUUGGCCUCAGCGUCUUCUUAUCCUGUUUAUGGUACAUCUCUGCGGAUGAUGUAGGAAGAGAUAAACAUGAGCUCAAUGCCACGAAUCUACAUUGUAUAGAUACAAAACUGGAUUCUCUUAGCUGUCUUGCCUUACAGCACGGUUUACUGGAUUUGCUUAAAUUAUGAGAACAGUUGUGAGGUAGGUAGGCAUUGCUCAAGUCCAACCCUACAUCAGUGUGUUAAAACAAGGAUUCAUGGCACCCUGCCUCCUGAAGCUCUCACAUCGCACAGGGGCGCCUCACUGACCCGGAGAGAACAUGGGUAAGCAUUUAAACAGCACAUGUCAUUGUUUGUCUCUUUUUGCUCCAAAUCAGGGCAAGAGGGUGAUACACUUUGUUUUAAAAAAUAGGUUUGAAGAGAACUCUUUCUUAAUCAUUAGACAGUGAUUCUUAUAACCCCAGAGAUUGCAUGAGAUUGAAUCUUAAAAAAGAAAAAAAACUUGGUGAAUAUAGUUAUUGAGGAAUAGAAAACUCUUGGUACCUAGAACUAAGUGCUAAAACUAAUUUAAUCAUUUUAAAAAUGCCUUAAGAUUUAAGCUUUAUUCAGGAAACCAAUUCCUAACUACAGAGAACAAACUGAUGGUUGAGGGGGGGACGGGAGGAGAGGGGGAUGGGUGACACAGGUGCGAGUACUAAGGAGCGCACUUGUCAUGAAUACCGCAGUGUAUGGAAGUGUUGAAUCACUGGAUUGUGCACCUGAAACUAAUGUAACACUGUAUGAUAACUAACUGGAAUUAAAAAUAAAAACGCUUAAAAAAUUAAGUUUUAUUCGCA
rnacentral:lncRNA from 1 species